GUGCUCGCUUCGGCAGCACAUGCACUACUAGUAAAAUUGGAAUGAUACAGAGAAGAUUAGCAAGGAUGACACGCAAAUUCAUUAAGGGUUCCUUCCAUAUUUUU
rnacentral:snRNA from 1 species